GCCGCCUUAGCUCAAUGGCAGAGCAACGCACUCGUAAUGCGUAGGUUGAGGGUUCAACUCCCUUGGGCGGCUCCA
rnacentral:tRNA from 1 species